UACGUAGGGUGCGAGCGUUGUCCGGAAUUAUUGGGCGUAAAGGGCUCGUAGGCGGUCUGUCGCGUCGGGAGUGAAAACUCAGGGCUUAACCCUGAGCCUGCUUCCGAUACGGGCAGACUAGAGGUAUGCAGGGGAGAACGGAAUUCUCGGUGUAGCGGUGAAAUGCGUAGAUAUCGAGAGGAACACCAGAGGUGAAGACGGGUUGCUGGGCUGACACUGACGCUGAGGCGCGAAAGCCAGGGGAGCAAACGGG
rnacentral:rRNA from 1 species